GAGCAGAGAAAAGAUCCAGGCCACACAGCAAGGAUCAACAGCCUGGGGGCUGAGGCCAAGAGAGAGACACCAACCAUUUCAGCACUGACCCUAGAAGCACAGAUCAUGUGGUCAUCAUCAGUCAUUAAGGACAAGUAAUGCCUUGAAUAUGUGACCACACGUGGCAGCUGACAUCUGUACAGGCAAAUGGCCACAUGCAAGAAGCAUUCACAACAGGGUAGUCGGGACAAGACCACAGGUUAAAACAGCUCUCAAGGUCAAGACUCUUCACCUCAGGAGUGCCUGGGUGGCUCAGUUGGUUAAGUGUCUGCCUUUGAUUCAGGUUGUGAUCUGAGUCCUGAGAUCGGGUCCAGGCUCCCUGCUCACUGCUUGUGCUCUCUCUCUCUCUCUGUCAAAUAA